rnacentral:tRNA from 1 species
GAGGAUGUAACUCAAUAGUAGAGUGUGUAUUUAGCAUGUACAAGGUUCUGGGUUCAAUCCCUAGUAUCUCCA